rnacentral:misc_RNA from 1 species
GGAAGCAAAAGUCGUAACAAGGUUUCCGUAGGUGAACCUGCGGAAGGAUCAUUAACAAAUCAUGAAUGGCGGUAGUCGGGGCUCGCGCCGGUAACAUGGCGCAGUCCCCCUCCCCACAUUGACUCGGGCUCGGCUUACCACCCCCCAAGGGGGUAGGCCGAGUCCUGAGACAUUCACGCUUGCUGUGUUUGACUGUUAUAUGAUGUUGGCAAAAAGACAACUUUUAACAAUGGAUCUCUUGGCUCUU